rnacentral:snoRNA from 1 species
GGCCGAUGACGAUGCACCCGGGCCGAACCGGUCUCGGCAACCGGUGACGACGAGCCCUAUGAGUGCCGAGGCC